rnacentral:rRNA from 1 species
CCUACGGGAGGCUGCAGUGGGGGAUAUUGCACAAUGGGGGGAACCCUGAUGCAGCGACGCCGCGUGGGUGAAGAAGCGCCUCGGCGCGUAAAGCUCUGUCAGCAGGGAAGAAAAUGACGGUACCUGAAGAAGAAGCCCCGGCUAACUACGUGCCAGCAGCCGCGGUAAUACGUAGGGGGCAAGCGUUAUCCGGAUUUACUGGGUGGAAAGGGGGCGCAGACGGCGAUGCAAGCCAGGAGUGAAAGCCCGGGGCCCAACCCCGGGACUGCUAUUGGAACUGCGUGGCUGGAGUGCAGGAGGGGCAGGCGGAAUUCCUGGUGUAGCGGUGAAAUGCGUAGAUAUCAGGAGGAACACCGGUGGCGAAGGCGGCCUGCUGGACUGCAACUGACGUUGAGGCCCGAAAGCGUGGGGAGCAAACAGGAUUAGAUACCCCUGUAGUC